AGAAAAGGCAGUGAAGUAAAAGUUGCAAAAAAUAUUUUCUUCACCCUUCCACUAGAACUGAACAUGAAAACAAACCAGUAUUGCAGAGUGUCGGUUGUUGCAAAGAAUAAGCUAAGGCAUGCCUGAGAAACCUACAUGAGAGUGCCAUUGUAUUUCACUUUGUAUUUGGACUGAAGAAUGAAAAGUCUGAUGUAGCUGAACAAAAUAAGCUGCAAAGUAUUACCAAGAAUGGUAUUUACUGCGGGAAUAUUAGCAGCAGAACAUUUGCCAAGGGGCCUCUGAUGGACAGACCACAGUCUAUAGUGGAUUUCACCAGCAAGAACAUGCUCAUCCUUUUUUCUCCAUCAUCUUCCUAGCAAAGAUAAGAAAGUGAUGACUCUUUUGCCAUGAGAUGAGGAACUCAAAGUGCUGUUGAGUUUACAAGGCUCCAGGGCUAUUCUCUAACCCUAAUUACCUCAACUGGAUCAUGCUGUGAAAAGAGAGUAUCAAAAUCACGCUUUUGGAAAAUGACAGUUAACUUUCCAGGUUUUCUCCAGAGGAAUGCUCUACAAAGAGACUCAAGAUCAAGACUACAUAAAUUGCUUCCACAUACAAUUUUUCAGACUUCCUGGCUCCAUGUCUUCAGAGAGAGGGGAAGCAGGCUAGCUACUUGUUUAAGAAUAGAGGGAAGGACGAAUCUCCCAAACUGGAUUGUUGCUGUUGUUAUUUUACUGUAUGUCUAUGGAGCUUCUCAGUCAUUGAGGUCAUGAUUGUCCCAAAGGUGCUUUUUUCUUUUUAAUUUUUCUUUUCCAUUUUUCCAAUUUACAUAACAAUAAGCGUUUUUUAACAGUACUGUGUCGUGUGUCUUACAGUUAUCUACAUUUAUUUCUAUACAUUUUUGUUUCUCUAUUCUAACCACUUAUACCACUUAUCCCAAACCUCGUAAAAUUCUGUUUCUUCCUUGCCUUUUAUUUCUAACGUGAGCUUAUACAUCUCGGCACAUUCUAAUCUCUUAUGAAUAAUCCUCUCAUUGGCUGGUAUAUUUUCAAGUUUCCAACACUGGGCAUAAAUAAUUCGUGCUGCUGUUACUAUAUGUAAAAUGAUAUGUUGGAGUUGCUUUUUUAUCUUUUGAUUAAUUAUUCCUAAUAAAAAUAAUUCAGGUUUAAGUUCAA